CUCAUGAGAAGUCAUUAUAUCUACACUUCUCUUUCUCUCCCCCCUCCGGGGCAAGAACUCCUCACCCUCCUCCAUGCCUCAACAAUAGGAACAUACGGUUUGCUGCCUGGAGCAUGUUCCUUCCACGAUUGCAUCUUUGGCAUGAGCCAUAGUCAUGCAACUACAUAUUGGCAUAACAUUGUCAUUCUUGAAAUUGGUAUUCCCUUGCAAUUCCUAGAUAUCCGACUGUGGAUUCUUCUCUGCCAAGAUCUAUCUUGGCAUUUCUUCUAAUGAAGGUUUGACCUUUAGUGGCAUCAGAUCUAACCUUUGUAUUGAGUUUUGGUUUCAGUAUUAUUUUCUUCUCCUUUUAGUCAUUUGACAUUUAGGUUUUCUUAUCAGAGAUUUUGCAGAAGUUGCAAACUUAUGGACUACUGGCAUUUGUUUUGAUAAACAAACGCUACAUGAACUCCUUUGCGUAUAUCUUCCUAAUCUGAUCAAGGAUUUCACUUUUUGAAAUGAUGGAGGGAGUUUUAAUGUUCGGUUGUUGCCGUAUUUUGCUGAAUGCUCAAUUCCCCUUAAUAGUGCCGCAGUCAUAACAUGUUGCUCUAUCAGUUUGAUGAAUCUUGUUGAUGUACUUUUUGUUAAUAUGCUUACUUCCUGUGUUUGAAGUGUAGUGGCAAGUUUUUUCUGUAACAAGUGGACAGUUGGUCUAUGGAUCUUGUACUAGUGCUUGACCCUUAUAGAAUUGUUUUGUGUAGCCACUCAUUUUAACAAAUACUAACUACUUGAAUGUUUUCCACAAUGGCUUCAAUUUAAUGAGGCUUGGUGAUUAAUUUACAUGCCGACCCCAAAUAAUCGAAAUAAGGCUUGGAUGAUGAUGAUGAUGGUGAUUAAUUUACAUGAUUUCAUUGAUGGUAUCAAGCAACUAAAAAUUUCAUAAACUUUCCUUUGGAGACGAUUUCAGACGAUACAAUUCAUGAUCAAUUUAUUGAUGAGACAAAAAACGUUCUGGCUCAUUAUUAGAGAAAUAUUUGUUCUCCCACAUUCUAAAGUUGCUAUUCUCUUGUAGUGUGGCUGAGAUAGCGGUUUUUCAGACAAAAAUCCACUUACAAGAGGCUUAUCAGAAAUGCAAAAUUGUCCAAUUGUGUGACAAAUAUGAGACUGCCAUCUCUUUAGUAAAUGUAACCUCCUUAUUGUUCUAAUUGCUACCUAGAUUAGACUCUCUUUGUUCUCUUUAGUUAUUCACAAAGCUUACUAGCAUACGGCUUAUGAUUGGCAUUAUUCUGAUCAGAUUCUUCUCAAUUUGAAAUGUUUCCCUGUGCUUACAUAGGUCCUAGAUAAGAUGCAUGCUCGGCCUAGUGGGCCUAAGGUGUUGCUCACUAGACAACCAACGGAGGACGGGCUCGGGAUGGAGGACUAAGGUUAGGGGAAAUGGAGCGCGACUGUUUGAUAGCUUACGGUGCAAGUAAUAUGAUCCUAGAACGCAUGAUGAUCUCCAGUGAUAAGUUUCAGGUUCAGGUUUGCACAAAAUGUGGUUUGUUGGGAUAUUACCAUCAUACAUUGAAAAUGGCCUGGUGUACAUCAUGCUAGAACGGAGAUAAUGUCUCUACUUUGACACUACCUUAUGCAUGCAAGCUUCUAAUCCAGGAAUUGCAAGCAAUGAAUGUCGUCCCUCAUCUCCAACUUUCAGAGGCAGGAAAAGCUUAAUUGUGCAGUUAAGACAUUCAAAUUCCAUGAAAUGCUAAUUGCAUAUGACUAACAUGUGAGAUCCACGCAUAAAACUGCUUGGAAAAUGUCCACGAUUUUGAAAAGUUAAAGUAAAUCGUCUUCAUGAUGCAUUAUGGGGUGUUAACCAAGCGAUGGAAGGAAACUUGAAAAAUGGAUUUGUGGAGGCUGCAUCCCUCAAAGUUUCUGAAGAUUAAAGUCUUGGAGCUGCUACUCCUGCAAUAGCGGGUUCUGUGUUUUGUGGAUUGAAAUCAAACCCCAAAUGCAAUAAGUUUUGGGUUGCCAGUUUUGAUUAAAACAAAUUUGGAUUGUCAGUUUGGUCAGGAAAAUCAGCUUCUUAUGGAUGACCUACCAUAGCAUAUUUAUUGGAGAUUAUACAUAGGAGACUAUGACAUUGUGUUUCUACCUGUUAUAAAUAUGAAAGAUAAGGUGGUUAGGCUAAA